rnacentral:rRNA from 1 species
UACGUAGGGUGCAAGCGUUAAUCGGAAUUACUGGGCGUAAAGCGUGCGCAGGCGGUUGUGUAAGUCUGUCGUGAAAUCCCCGGGCUCAACCUGGGAAUUGCGAUGGAGACUGCACGGCUAGAGUGUGUCAGAGGGGGGUAGAAUUCCACGUGUAGCAGUGAAAUGCGUAGAUAUGUGGAGGAACACCGAUGGCGAAGGCAGCCCCCCUGGGAUAACACUGACGCUCAUGCACGAAAGCGUGGGGGAGCAAACAGG